GCGUGAGCCGCGGUAUACAGACUGACGCCUGCCCGGUGCCGGUAAGUUAAGGGAGGCGGUUAGCCCGUAAGGGUGAAGCUGGCGACCGAAGCUCCGGUAAACGGCGGCCGUAACUAUGACGGUCCUAAGGUAGCGAAGUUCCUUGUCGGGUAAGUUCCGACCUGCAUGAAUGGCGUAACGACUGGACCACUGUCUCCACGAGAGACUCGGUGAAACUGUAGUUGUCGUGAAGAUGCGACAUACCCGCAGCUAGACGGAAAGACCCCGUGAACCUUAACUGCAGCUUGGUAUUGGGUUUAGGCCCGGCAUGCGUAGCGUAGGUGGGAGGCCGUGAACCCCGCUUCUCGGAGCGGGGGAGCCGUCGAUGAAACACCACCCUUGCCGUGCUUGAAUUCUAACCCGGUCCGGUGAACCCCGGCCGGGGACCGUGCUAAGUGGGCAGUUUGAUUGGGGCGAUCUCCUCCCAAACGGUAACGGAGGAGCCCAACGGUCCCCUCAGCCCGGUCGGCAAUCGGGCCUCGAGCGCAAACGCAGAAGGGGGCUUGACUGCGAGCCCGAUGGGGCGAGCAGGUGACG
rnacentral:rRNA from 1 species